GGGAAAGGCUUUUCUUCUCAGUCUCCUCUUCUAUGUUGUUUUUUGGAUUAGCAGGAGCGAAGACUUGCACUAUCAAAACAUUUGCCAUUGGAAAGUCGAGGGGUUCAUCUGGAAGAAUGAGCAAGAAGGUGCACUGGAUAUUUCAAGAACAGAAAUGGUAGCAUGAAAAGAGCCUAAGAAGAGAAGGAGAUGAAAGUUUUAAUGAAGUGGAGUAAGAUCCAUCCUGAAAGCAGCAAAACUGAUAAACACAGGAGCCAGGCAGGAGUGGAAUGUCAGUGGAACCUGAGGGACGAGAGGGGGAACCAGCCAGGUGUGGCUGAGGAGUUUAAAACUCAGUGGAACAGCACUGUGCUACCAGCUGCUCCAGGACCUUUCCUGGGCAUGAUAGCAUAUUCAACUGCUUCAACUAACUCGUUUUAAUUAAGGUAUGAAGCCAUUUAAGUAUUUCUUUGGCAAAAGCAGUAUGAUCAGUGAUUGUGAAUGAUCUUACUGCUGCUAUUUUCCAAGUUUUAGUGCUCUAUUAAAAAUCACUUUGUGUCAUUUCUAAUUGCUGCUUUAAGGAUUGUCACUUCCAUUGCCAGUGAAGUUGCUUACUGGAAUAAUGCCAUCAAGAAAAUACAACCCACGUCCAUUUAAAGGCUACAGAUAAGAGAUUGGA
rnacentral:lncRNA from 1 species